AAAAAAGGUAUAUGGUGAAAAUAAUAAAACCAAAAGGCUAUGAAGGAGACAAUAAUGGACCUAUCUAAGAAUGUGUACAUUUUGUCCAAGGAUACAUUUCGCUUGCAACCCUAAGAGAUCAUCAACAAUUAUCAAGCAUACAGCUGAAGAAUUAGUAUUUGACAGUAACAAUAAUAAUAAAAACUAAUAAGUGGUGAUGCAAAAUUACCACUAGCAGUAAGGUAACGCAAUGGUGUUGAGAAAAUUGCAUACAAAAUCUGGGUGUCCAUGAGAUAGACCUGGGCAAAGCAUUAGCAUACUGUUAAACAACUUUUGGCAGAGAAUUAGGAUUGACACAUACAUGAAUUUCAUUGGAGCCCAAAGUCAAUGAUAACACCAAUAUUAUUAUUUUUUGCAAACCAAGAUCAAAUAAGAACACCAAAAUUUUCAAAGUUGCAGAUUGUUACACUAUUUCAUUAUUUGUGUGUGCCUUUAAAUCUCUAAAGCUGUAGAUUUUACACUUUCAUGUUAGAGUGUCACACCCAAUAUGCGAUACUAUCCUAAAGAGACUCGAAGGUCCCACCAAGGAUAGAACCCCAUAUUGAAACGCUUUUGCAAGGUGGAUAUCAUUACAUCAACAUUACAUAAUAGAUGGGGAUACAUACAAAAGGCAUACAUUGCCACACGGAUACAACAACAUCUUACAUAAGAGCACCAUCCGACUACGAAUGAAACAUAAACAGAAACUCAAAUGACAUCCACCCUGCUAGCCCAGGCUGCGGACCUGGAAACUAUCCCCUGAUCAAAGAAGAAGCACAAGAGGAACUCCAAAACAAGCAAGCAUCGCUCUCGCAUCAUGAUCAUCGCAUAACCUGUACCUGCAACUGUUGUUGUAGUAAUCUAUGAGCCACGAGGACUCAGCAAUCCCAUUACCAUCGGUAUCAAGACUAGCAAAGCUUAAUGGGUAAGGAAGGGGUAAAGUGGUGAGGUUGCAGCAAUGACUAAGCAUAUAUGGUGGCUAACAUACGCAAAUAAGAGCGAGAAGAGAGCAGGCGGAACGGUCGUGAAACUAGCAAUGAUCAAGAAGUGAUCAUGAACUCCUACUUACGUCAAACAUAACCCAAAAACCGUGUUCACUUCCCGGACUCCGCCGGAAAGAGACCAUCACGGCUACACACGCGGUUGAUGCGUUUUAAUUCGUAUCUGGUGUCAAGUUAUCUACAACCGGAUAUUAACAAAUUCCCAUCUGCCACAUAACCGCGGGCACGGCUUUCGAAAGAUAAUACCCUGCAGGGGUGUCCCAACUUAGCCCAUGAUAAGCUCUCGCGAUCAACGAAGGAUAUUCCUUCUCCCAGGAAGACCCGAUCAGUCUCGGAAUCCCGGUUACAAGACAUUUCGACAAUGGAAAACAGGACCAGCAAGACUGCCCGAUGCGCCAACAUCCCGAUAGGAGCUGCACAUAUCUCGUUCUCAGGGCAACACCGGAUGAACACUACAUACAACUAAAACCAGAUCUCAAGUUUCCCCGAGGUGGCGCUGCAAGUGGCUCUGGUUCGGACCAGCACUUAGAGAAGCAUUGGCCCGGGGGGGCUAAAAUAAAGAUGACCCUUGGGUUAAUUACUCCCAAGGGAAAAGUAGGUGGUGGUGAGGCAAAUGGUAAAACCAAGGUUGGGCCUUGCUGAAGGAGUUUUAUUCAAAGCGAACUGUCAAGGGGGUCCCAUAAAUCACCCAACCGCGUAAGGAACGCAAAAUCCGGGAACAUAAUACCGAUAUGACGGAAACUAGGGCGGCAAGAGUGGAACAAAACACCAGGCAUAAGGCCGAUUCUUCCACCCUUUACCAAGUAUAUAGAUGCAUUAAUUAAAUAAGAGAUGAUGUGAUAUCCCAACAUAAUCCUGUCCACCAUGGAGCAAUCUUCAACUUCACCUGCAACUAACAACGCCAUAAGAGGGGCUGAGCAAAAGCGGUAACAUAGCCAAACAAUGGUUUGCUAGGAAGGGUGAAAAGGUUAGAGGCUGACAUGGCAAAUGGGAGGCUUGAAGAGCAAAUGAUAGGUAGCGCAGCAAAGCGAUAGAACGAAGCAACUAGCAUAGCAAUGAUAGUAGUGAGAUCCAGGGUGACGGUCACCUUGCCUGAAAUCCCGUUAGGAAGAAGAAGGAGUCCAUGAGGAAGAUGAAGCCAUGAAUACGAACCGAGCAUAGACGAACGAAUCCUCACGAUCGCAACGAAACGGGAACUAUCGAGAAGAAGCACACAACAUGGUAAACACACCACACAUAGUCAUGGCAUGAUACUCAACCAAGUAUGAUGCAAGACAAAGCUAGAUGAGGCUACUCGUGGCAAGAGAUGAUGCAAACAAGAACAACACAUCAAGGCAAGUUUAAGUGAGGUCGGGAACAACAUAUAACAAUUCCGGUAAGUCCUCAUAUGCAAAUUUCAAAAUAGGUCCAGAUCUGAAUAACCUUAUGUUCAAGUUGUUAAACAGCAAGUUAAGAUGCACCAAGAUGAUCUACAUGAGAUUCUAGUCAAGUUACGUAUAAAGUUCACUUAGUUCAGAGCUACGGCCUAGAAGAUAUGAGCAAAACAAGUUAAACAUGGAAUUGAUGCAAAAUGCAUACAAAAAUCAAGCAAACACCUCAAAAUAAGGAUGUAACAUGAUAAUAUGAAACUACAUGCAAAACUAAGAAAGUUUCAUAUAGAGCACACUCAAAACGGAGCAACAGUUCAACACAUACACUCUAUACAAGUUUAAAGAACAAGCUGUCCAAAACAGCAACUAGGCGUCUAGCAAGCAUCAAAACAAUAUGCUACAGCAUCUCAACAUGGAAACAAAAGACAUGGACAUGAUGUACAGGUAAAGCAUGACAAAACAUGAACACUGGGCUAUCUCCAGAAAUCACUAGAACAUGCUCAAAAGGACAUGGCAAGAUUGCAUAUAACAACAGUUUCAGACUUUGCAGAAAUAACAUCAGGUUGCAAUGUUUAGAGCUAUCAAACAACAUGCUACAGGAACUUAUCAUGUCAAACAAAGGAAUUGCAUGAACCUACUAAUUGCAUAGAACAAAAGUACCUUACUGACCUAAUUCCAAAGAUCAACAGAAAACAUGGUAGCAUCCAUGCAAACAUGGAAAAUGAUGACAGAUUCAUACAUGGCGGGAACAACAAUCAGUAGACAUGUUGGUGAGCUUGUACCACUCACCACAAAGCAUUACAUGGCAUGAUAAGGCAACCAACAGUAAUAAUACAUGUCUAUGAAGCUAACCAUGGCAAGAGCAAGUUCAUAGGGUGCAUGGAUCACUAGCAAAGCACAUGGCAAAAACUGAACAUAAUGUUAACAGGCUGACAGCAACAUUAUUUAGCAACUUUGGAGCAAGAUAACAACAAGCUACAGCAGGCUAUAAAUGCAACUAGGGGCAUGGAUGGAUAGAGCAUGACAUGUAUAACAAAACAUCCUUAGUGAACAUCACCACAUUAUGCAUAGAAUGAGUUGUAGCAGCAGGUUUACAUAGCAUCAUGUUGUAACAGAUUCAGCCUAGCAAAACAGCAAUAGCAAGUACCCUACUUCACGAGCUCGAUGCACUCACUACAAGAAGCACAAAAAUACAUGGGUGGCAUCACUGUCAAGAUGGAAUGACGUAGUACAAAACACAUGUAGAGCUCAUUCUCAUAAGAUGCACACAUCAAAUGCAAGAAAAAAUGACAAAUCAUCAAGUUCUGUUAACAGACAGCAGGCAACAUUAUAUAGCACUCUAGCAAUAGAGAUUUGGGCUUCAAGAUGGACUCAAACAAGCAUGGCACAAUUAAAUGAAAUUAAGUGCAUCUCAUCAUGAAUAUUUUGAUAUAUUACACGCACAAAACGGAGCAGCACACAUGAAGUUAUGGCAUGAUGAAUAGGGCAUAAAAAUAUCACAGGAAAAAUGACGAUGGAAAACGAGGGGGGGUUCGACCUUCAGAUCUGGGGUUUGACCGCGGCAUGGAUCCCAAGGCGGUGGCUGAUCUCGCCGAAUCUCCGCCGGAGAAGAAGCGACGAUGGCCGGAGUUGGUCGGAUCGGGUGGAUCCCGGCGGCGGAGGGCGACGGGGAGACGCGGAGGCCCACGGGCAGCUCCGGCCGGCGUGGAGGGAGAGGCGCGGAGGAGGCGGCACGAGGAACGGCGGACGGCGGCACGGGGCCGCGCCGGUGAAGGGCGAUGCCGGCGGGAGGCAGCGCGCGAGACCGGCGGAGCCAGCGGCGGAGGAGGGUCACGGCGGGGCGCCGGCGCGAGGUCGGCGGGAUGCUGGCAGGGCGCGGGGCGGAGCCCGGCGGCGGCGGCGAGCGGCACCGGCGACAUGGCAGCGGCAGAGCGGGGCGUAGCCGGCGUGGUGGCGCGGGCGACGACGGUUGCGGGCCCGGUGCGGCCUGGUUCGACCCGGGGCGGGCCGGAUCUGGGCCUCGAGCGGCGGCGACACAUGGAGAUGCGGGAUUGGGCGCGGGGGCAGUGGCGAUGACAUGUCAGUGCGUGAUUCGUUGGGGUGAGGUGGAGGCUGGACGUGUCCGGCCGGAGUUUGACGUGUCCGGCGGCGCGAGGGGAGCGGGGCUAGGGUUUGCCCGAAAUUUUGGGGGAGGGGCUAAUUUAUAGGUAGAGGGAGCUGGGAGACUCCAAAUGGGGUGCGGUUUUCGCCCACAUGAUCCUGAUCGAACGACCGAUAGCAUGGAGCGUGUUUUGCUGGGUUAGAGGGCCACUUUGGAGGGGUGUUUGGCUGCAACAUAAAGAGGCCUUUGCGGCUACCCGGCUAACCGUUGAAGUAUCAAAGGGACUCCAAAUGGGACGAAACUUGACAGGUGGUCUACCGGUGCUAUACCAAGGCCACUCGGCAAACCUUAGUCCAUUCCAAGAACGUUUUUACCCCCGCUCACGAAAACAAGGUCUGAGAGGGGCGACGGGCGCGCGCGAGAGGUGUGGACUCCGAACGGACAACGAAGAGAACCGGCGAAACCCGAACGGAUGCAAGUUUUGAAAAGCAUGCAGAUGAAAAUACAGAUGAUGACAUGGCAAAAUGCAACACACAAGCAAAUGACAUGGCAACAACGACGAAUAACUGGAAGACACCUGGCGCAUCGAAUCCGUGGCGUUACAUAGAGCCUCAGUCAUGUUGAAUGGAGUAGCGUAUUUAGUGGUAAAUGUUGUGCCCAUCCCUCUAGCUCAGGGAGUAGCCUAUUCAAUGGUAAAACUAUGUGCCCCUCUACCUCUCAGCCUUUGUAGAUGAAAGAAAGUUACUUCGAAAGCUUGUCGUGGUAUGUUCAAUCAUAGAAGUUUCAUAGCACCAUAUACUAACAUAUAUUGCAAAAAUGUGCCUUGAAUGUCACAUGCACACAUUAAUUCAAAUAGGAAAAUGUAUGAACAUAUGCAGGAUUUUUUUCAAGAAUACCGAUCAGUCUUCUAGGCAUGGACGGUCCCAAGCCUGGGUAAAGGAGGAGGAUUGUGAUAGGCUUGGUGAGCCAACAUAAAAACUAGCCAGUCUUUUGGUUAUGAAACCCAUUUGGGAGAGAGUAGUACUAGGAUGGGUGACCUCCUGGGAAGUCCUCGUGAAAGGGUUUCAUAUCUAAGGGUUGUGAUAGGCUUGGCGAGCCAACGUAAAAACUAGCCAGUCUUUUGGAUAUGAAACCCAUUUGGGAGAGAGUAGUACUAGGAUGGGUGACCUCCUGGGAAGUCCUCGUGAAAGGGUUUCAUAUCUAGCCUACCCCAACUUGUUUGGGAUAAAAGGCUUCAUAAGUAAGUAAGUACCGAUCAGUCCUUAAGAUAGGAAUGGUCAGAACUAACAAGUACUACCUCAGUCUCAAAAUAUAUAUACGUUUUUGUAGGCUAGUUUAGCCUAUAAAAACAUCUUAUAUUUCAAGAUGGGAGGUAGUAUGUCUCAACUAGCAUUGAUAUUUAAUCCUAAUAGCAACAAACAUGAGUACAUCUAACUUAGACAAGUUCUGCUGCAAAUAAAAAUGCACACUGGUAUACCAUACCAAACAAUCACUUCUCGAUGUAGAAAAGACACAAAGUUAAUUAUUAAUUUGCAACUAUGCCAGGGAGUAAAGUGGUAGGUAAUAUAAAAAUAUAGGGAUAAGCCAGACUAAUAACAAUAGAAAGGAGAAGAACAGUAAUAUGGGCAUGGCCUAAUUUUUGGUUAGGGACUAAACGUGAACUACCACACAGCUUGUCUAACUAGUGUAGUUACUUAAUUAACUAGCAGAUUACACAAACUCUACACUGCUAAUGCUCGCACGGUGAGAGAAGAAAAGGGAAAUAGCCAACAGUGCUAGUCUAUUGUUGGCUGUAACUUGCAAGUAUCAGGAAACAAAAGCGGCCAUGUUUUCUACAUAAAGUUCAGUCCAAGAAAAUUGGAGAGUCCUUGGAGAACUAUGCUAAAGAAGAGCAUCAGUCACCUGGAAAGAAAAGAAAAAACAAAGUGAGUGUGUCGACCUUCUUGUUCUCUGGGGAAUCAUGGUUGUCGGGGAUCCUAGCCAUCGAGCUCAUCUGGCUCGAGC
rnacentral:lncRNA from 1 species